rnacentral:rRNA from 1 species
CAGCCGCCGCGGUAAUACGUAGGUGGCAAGCGUUGUCCGGAAUUACUGGGUGUAAAGGGAGCGCAGGCGGGCUUGCAAGUCAGCUGUGAAAUUCAAGGGCUUAACCCUUGACAUGCAGUUGAAACUACAGGUCUUGAGUGAAGUAGAGGUAGGCGGAAUUCCGAGUGUAGCGGUAAAAUGCGUAGAUAUUCGGAGGAACACCGGUGGCGAAGGCGGCCUACUGGGCUUUUACUGACGCUGAGGCUCGAAAGUGUGGGGAGCAAACAGGAUUAGAUACCCUGGUAGUCCACACCGUAAACGAUGAUUGCUAGGUGUGGGGGGUCUGACCCCCUCCGUGCCGCAGUUAACGCAAUAAGCAAUCCACCUGGGGAGUACGGCCGCAAGGCUAAAACUCAAAGGAAUUGACGGGGGCCCGCACAAGCAGUGGAUUAUGUGGUUUAAUUCGAAGCAACGCGAAGAACCUUACCAGGUCUUGACAUCGAGCGAUGUACUCAGAGAUGAGUAUUUCCUUCGGGACGCGAAGACAGGUGGUGCAUGGCC